AUAGUUCAUGCUGCAUCAAGAGAUAAGUCAUUACAACAAGAAAAUCAAAUUGAAUCUGGGUGUGGGUAGUUCACAGUUCACAACUAGCUGCGCUCUUCUGUACAUUCACCAGGUGCUGAACAGAGAGACAGGCCAGUUCGCCGAAUUAUCGCCUGGAAUAGUGCGAUGUUUGCUCAGCCGCGGGUGCUUUGUGUUCAGUGUCCGAGCUCCUUUCACAGGGCGGGACACUAAACGCCUGCAUCUCGAUGCCGACGUCGACACAGCAGUCCUCCACGCCGAGGUCAGCUGUUGGUGGCAUGCACCUUUUCAACACAAGUCCACCCACUCGCUUCAGUUUCCUCCAUCAACUCAUGCAAAACCUGAAAGGUUUAUCAAAGACAUCAUAUGUACAUACACAUGACAGGAAAAUUGCUGCAGCUAUUUGGGGCAUUGUAGACUAAUUGAAGCACACACCUGACAGGUGCUCUCUGAUCUUAUGCCAUUGCUUUCAGGGAUCGGCCCAGAGGUAUCACCAAAAGCUACUAAAUUUUAGUAUCUAGGUGCAAUUUUUGGUGCCUCACUAGGUAUAAUAUUUGAUUUGGUUCCAAAUGAAUUGCCA
rnacentral:lncRNA from 1 species